AAGUAAAAGUAGGCAUUUCUUACAUGAGAAGUGCAGAAGUGUGAUUUCAGCUCAUUUUUGUUAGAUAUUCCUGAGAGUUAAACAAUUAAAAUGUUCUGUUGGAAGUCCUUACAUUCAGGAUAGUUAAAGCAGUGCUUAGAGAUAUAACAAUAAAUGGUGGGAGUAUGUCUUGGAAGUGUUGAGAACAUGGCUGUCUGGGGCCAACUGCUGCUAUGGAAAGCUGAAUCUUCGAGCUAUAUUGAGUUGUCUCCACAAAUUCAAAGUUGCUCCACAGAGCUGUUUUCCAACAUGUGGACAAUAGAACUUUUUAGGCCGUUACUCAACAUGCAGUAUUAACUGUGGUGAUGCAAUUCACACCUUUCACAUGAAGGAAAAUGCUUGAUGUGGAAUGCAACCUUUUGACAUAGUAAAUUCCUCAGUGUUUGUCCUGAGACCAGUGGCAGAACAAGAAACCAGUUCUGGUCCUCAUCCCUUCCAAACCUGCAGUACUGCACUGCGCCGGCCCCUCAAAGACUUGAAUUACAGAGCUCGGGGGGGAUCAGUCUCAGUUUUCUGUUUAGUCCUGUUGUUCUAGUUAAAACCUAUUUUAUCACGCUGAAGAUGUGGACUAGAGAUAGAUAGGAGGCUGGCUUUAAAAAAGUAAUUGCUAAUCAUGAGAAAUCCUGACUGAAGAAAAGCGAAUCCUCUACUGCAGAAACGUACCUGCUUUGGUUUGGAUGCUUUCUUUCAGAGAGGCAGUGCAUGACAGUCAUCGCAGUUAAGAAGCCCAAAACACCAGCAAAUACGUAUGAACUGACAGCAACGGAGAUUCUUCCUGAGAUGAGGUGUCAUUCUGUGGAUUUAGAUAAACCUAGCUCAUGUGGAGAGCAGCCAAAAGAAGAGAAAGGCCAAACUACUUGGAAGUCUUGAAAGAGGCCUGGAUAAAGUGAUUACAGUGCUUACAGCAGGCACAAAGAAGUGAUUCAGCUGACAGGGGCCAAGAAAACUUAAGUUUGUACUCAUUGCCUCUUGUCCUGAUGCUGAUCACCAUUGAAAAUCAUCUGACCCCAUCCACUGGACACCUAUGAUUCAGGUAUUUGCAAACACUGAUUCCCUCUCAACCUUCUCUUUCCCAGGCUGAACAGCCCCAGGUCUCUCAGCCUUUCCUCAUAAGAGAGGCACAGCUAGACUGUGCCACUGAUCACAGCCCUCUGAGCUCUGCUUGUCAGCCAGUUCUCAAUCCACCUCGCUAUCCAGUGUUUAUCCCACACUUUCUAAGUUUACCUAUGAGGAUGUUGUGGAAGACAUUUAGUGUCUUGCUGAAUUCAAGGUACACAGCAUCCGCUGCUCUUUCCUCAUCUACCCAGCUGGUCAUGACAUCAUAAAAUCCUUAGAGGUGGAAACGGACCUCUGAAUGCCAUCUAGUCCAAGUCCUGUGCAAGGAGCAGCGACAUGCACAGCUAGAUCAGGUUGGCCAGGGCCUGAUCCAACCUCUCCUUGAGAGUCUUCAGGGAUGGGACAUCCACCACAUGAUGAGACAGCCUGUUCCAGUGCCUCGCCACCCUCACCAUAGAAGAGUUUUUCCUUA